rnacentral:rRNA from 1 species
UUUAAGUNAGUCAUCAUGGCCCUUACGGCCAGGGCUACACACGUGCUACAAUGGUCGGUACAAAGGGUUGCCAAGCCGCGAGGUGGAGCUAAUCCCAUAAAACCGAUCGUAGUCCGGAUCGCAGUCUGCAACUCGACUGCGUGAAGUCGGAAUCGCUAGUAAUCGUGAAUCAGAAUGUCACGGUGAAUACGUUCCCGGGCCUUGUACACACCGCCCGUCACACCAUGGGAGUGGGUUGCACCAGAAGUAGCUAGUCUAACCGCAAGGGGGACGGUUACCACGGUGUGAUUCAUGACUGGGGUGAAGUCGUAACAAGGUAGCCCGUAGGGGAACCUGCGGUUGGAUUAUCC